GGCCGCGGUGUAACCCUCCUCUUCCUCGUCCGAGCUCAGCUUCCAAGCACCAGGUCCGGCGGAGAAACCUCGGGACCCACGGCACAGGCGGGCGCAGACACGCAGACCGGGUCGCAACGUGAGAAUUGCAGGCGGAGGGGGGCCAGCCGAGCCAACUGCACCUGAACUGGGAUCAGAACCACCGUGGAGGCCUGCGGUUUAGGACAACAAGAGUGAGUUUUGAAUAUUGUUCACUCUCGAAGACGGUGAUGUGUCACAGCACCCAGGUGUGAAGAUCCAGGGAGCAGCAGAUGUUCCCUGUGGUCAGCCGCUGUCCAGGAGGAGAUGACCCCCUUUCUGCCAUAUCAUCAGAAGGUCCGUCGCAGCCUGGUGCUACGUCACGAUGCCUCUGUCGUUCUCUUCCCUUCCUCUCAUCACACAGGCAUCUUCUCACAUCAUCACCAGAAGAAGGUCACUUGGAAAAUCUGAAAAUCUGUGAACCACUAGUCUGCAUAAUUUCCAGGACGCCUUCCAUCUCUACAAUUCGAUGUGUGUGUGUGACCCAAAGUAAAACAGCAGAGAGUAUGUUGGGGGGUUCCCCCCUUAAACCUUUAUACAGUGUUUGUUUGUUUG